AUUGAACGCUGGCGGCAUGCCUUACACAUGCAAGUCGAACGGCAGCAUGGAGAGCUUGCUCUCUGAUGGCGAGUGGCGAACGGGUGAGUAAUGCAUCGGAACGUACCGUGUAAUGGGGGAUAACGUAGCGAAAGUUACGCUAAUACCGCAUACGACCUGAGGGCGAAAGCAGGGGAUCGCAAGACCUUGCGUUAUACGAGCGGCCGAUGUCAGAUUAGCUAGUUGGUGAGGUAAAGGCUCACCAAGGCGACGAUCUGUAGCUGGUCUGAUAGGAUGAUACGCCAGACUGGGACUAGGACACGGCCCAGACUCCUACGGGAGGCAGCAGUAGGGAAUUUUGGAGAAUGGGGGCAACCCUGAUCCAGCCAUGCCGCGUGAGUGAAGAAGGCCUUCGGGUUGUGAAGCUCUUUCGGCCGGGAAGAAAUCGCACAGGCUAAUACUCUGUGUGGAUGACGGUACCGGCAUAAGAAGCACCGGCUAACUACGUGCCAGCAGCCGCAGUAA
rnacentral:rRNA from 1 species